rnacentral:tRNA from 1 species
UCCCUGGUGGCUCAGAGGAUAAAGCAUCUAUCUGCAAUGUAGGAGACCCAGGUUCGAUCCCUGGGUUGGGAA